GGGGAAGUGUAUUUGUCAGAACUGGGCUGAGUGACACGAUUCCUGUUGGGACAGACUGGGACCUUGUACCAGGGCUCGCUGUCAGUCAGAUGGUCGUCAGCUGUCAGACUGUGUGGGUUCGGUGUGCUAAUGGAGAACUGGCUCGGCGUUAUGGCAUUUCUGCUCGCAACCCUGCUGGAGAUUACUGGUAGAAGAUUCCUGGAAACACUAACUGGUUUACUGAACAUAAGCUGACAGAGGCAGUGCAAGAAGAUGAACAUCUUC